GGGAAUGUGGCUUAGUGGUAGAGUGCUUGCCUAGCAAGCAUGAAGCCCUGGGUUCGAUUCCUCGAUACCA
rfam:Dipodomys ordii contig_40810, whole genome shotgun sequence.